rnacentral:rRNA from 1 species
UUCGCCCGCCACCAGGACCACACCAUAAACCUUUUUUAUGCAGUUGCAAUCAGCGUCAGUAUAACAAAUGUAAAUCAUUUACAACUUUCAACAACGGAUCUCUUGGUUCUGGCAUCGAUGAAGAACGCAGCGAAAUGCGAUACGUAGUGUGAAUUGCAGAAUUCAGUGAAUCAUCGAAUCUUUGAACGCACAUUGCGCCCUUUGGUAUUCCAAAGGGCAUGCCUGUUCGAGCGUCAUUUGUACCCUCAAGCUUUGCUUGGUGUUGGGCGUCUUUUGUCUUUGGCCUCGCCCAAAGACUCGCCUUAAAACGAUUGGCAGCCGGCCUACUGGUUUCGCAGCGCAGCACAUUUUUGCGCUUGCAAUCAGCACAAGGACGGCAAUCCAUCAAGACUACAUUUUUACGUUUGACCUCGGAU